GUACACUGAAGGAGCACAUAUACUAAAAUUGGAAUGAUACAGAGAAGAUUAGCAUGGCCCCUUUUAAGAGAAAAAAAUUUAAAAAUAUAUAUAUACAAUUUUU
ensembl:snRNA U6 U6 spliceosomal RNA